rnacentral:rRNA from 1 species
UACGGGGGGGGCAAGCGUUGUUCGGAAUUACUGGGCGUAAAGGGCUCGUAGGUGGCCAAUUAAGUCAUACGUGAAAUCCCUCAGCUUAACUGGGGAACUGCGUCUGAUACUGGAUGGCUUGAGUUUGGGAGAGGGAUGCGGAAUUCCAGGUGUAGCGGUGAAAUGCGUAGAUAUCUGGAGGAACACCGGUGGCGAAGGCGGCAUCCUGGACCAAUACUGACACUGAGGAGCGAAAGCCAGGGGAGCAAACGGG